GUGCUCGCUUCAGCAGCACAUGCACUAAAAUUGGUACCACAGAGAAGAUUAGCAUGGCCCCUACACAUGAUGACAUUCGUGAAGUGUUCCACAAUUUU
ensembl:snRNA U6 U6 spliceosomal RNA